rnacentral:rRNA from 1 species
GACGAACGCUGGCGGCGUGCUUAACACAUGCAAGUCGAACGGAAAGGCCCUGCUUUUGUGGGGUGCUCGAGUGGCGAACGGGUGAGUAACACGUGAGUAACCUGCCCUUGACUUUGGGAUAACUUCAGGAAACUGGGGCUAAUACCGGAUAGGAGCUCCCGCUGCAUGGUGGGGGUUGGAAAGUUUCGGCGGUUGGGGAUGGACUCGCGGCUUAUCAGCUUGUUGGUGGGGUAGUGGCUUACCAAGGCUUUGACGGGUAGCCGGCCUGAGAGGGUGACCGGCCACAUUGGGACUGAGAUACGGCCCAGACUCCUACGGGAGGCAGCAGUGGGGAAUAUUGCACAAUGGGCGGAAGCCUGAUGCAGCAACGCCGCGUGCGGGAUGACGGCCUUCGGGCUGUAAACCGCUUUCGCCUGUGACGAAGCGUGAGUGACGGUAAUGGGUAAAGAAGCACCGGCUAACUACGUG